AAGCAGGACCAGGACAGCAGGGUGACCUUCGCAGGAGCUCGGCUCAGCCCAGGGACUGGGUGCUGCUGGCACCCAGGAGAGCCACAAGAAAGCAGCAUGAUCCCCACACUGCCAUGGAACAGAAACCUACUCUCAGCUGGCAUUGCCUUUGAAAUGAAGUGCUGGAAUCCUGUACACAUGGAGGAAGAGAUUUCUGUGUGGGUUGUGGGUGAGACCUGGGAAGAGGCCUCAGGCAAAUGUGACCAACCUGAAUUCCUGCUGAUUUUGUGAACUCUGCAAGUGCCUCAGAGAGAGGUGGGACUCUCAAGAAGUACGGAGGAGAGCAGGCUGCUGAGGGCUGAGGAAUGGCAGCAAUGCCCACAUGUUUUCUGUUUGUGACACCGUGGCUGAUGGGAAUCAUUUAAUCACACAGCGAGACCGGUUCACUCUACCUUUACACCAGUCCUUAAGAUGUUUCCCUUAUCUCUGACUUUCUGCAGACGGCUGGGGUUUUCCCUGCCUGGUUCCUCUGUCACCUACAGAUGGCUUUCAGUGCUUAAUCCUUGGGAAAUGUGAGUUUCUCCAUGACUCAGCCACAGUUUCCCUGCUUGGCUGUCACACGGUGUUUCAUCUUUUCACUUCUCAGUCUGCAUCUGUACAAAGAGGUCAGUAAUGAGAGGAAAACAAGCAUAGCAGGGCCAGAUACACACAGAUCCCCAAGUGUUGAGGGGCCAUAUAAUUUCUUAAAUGAAUUGGUCACAUGAUACUCAUGAUGCUCUUUUUUUUCCUUUUUCCUCCUUUACUGGAUAAUUGAAACUUCAUAGACAUUAAGAAUCUGAAACAUGCGUAACAGUUCUUUAUGUACAAACAGCUUUUUCUCUGCAAACUGAGGAGUUUGUGGGGAAGAGAGUUCUGUGAACACUGGAGCGAGCAAGCACCUGUUUCCCACAAGUGUUACAAUUCCCACAACUGGCAGGAACAGUUGAUGUUCAGGGUAUAAAUGCAAAUUUUCCAUCUCUACAUCACAGGAUUAUCUGCGUUGUCCCCAGUUAAACCUCCUCACUGAAUAUAUAACUAAAUCUUUCCAAAUGACCAUGCCCUGCUCCCUUUAGUAAGUUCUGCCUUCAUCUGGACAAACUUCUGCCCAAGUCUUUCUAUUUCCUAUAGGCUCAACACUUGAAGACCUCAAUUAAUCUCCUAGACUAGGAGGUCUCCAGCUAGAGGAGACAGGAGGCCCAAGAACAUGGGUGGAUGACUUGGUCCCCUGGGUCUUAUUGAAAGGGAGACACAUGGCCAUCAGAUUGGCACCAUGCCAAUGGAAAGGUCCCUGCUGAAGCCAGGGUGUGUAAUUCGACCUUGUAAAUUCAGUAACAUGGGAAGCAAUUACACAGAAAUCCAAGCUCCAGCAGGCAAGGCUGCACUCUGCUGCGCUUGGGCGAACAACACGCAGUGAAGGUGGGGAUUGAGCUGAUGCUGAGCUGGCAGCAGUCCUCAGUCCUCUGGAAUUCAUGUCCUGUCUUCAAAAAGGAGGAAUAAUAUAUAAAAAAUUAUUCUGGCCACCCAGUUCCACGCUGCCACUCAGCCCCAACCCAUUAUUUGGGAAAUUGCUACUUGAGGAAGGAAAAGAUAAAUCAGUGCACAUUGGAAAAACAACUUGAAACUCUGGCUCAAGGCAGGGAAUCAGAGGAGAGCAGGCUCCAGACUUUUCUGCUAGCUUAGUAAAAUGGUGUGAUAUGAUCUACUAAGCAGGGGAAGUCAAAGAAAAGCUGCCCUGCAGGCAUUGCUGGGCAAUAUGAAGAGACACCUGGGAAGAGACUUUCUGGCAGAAAGAACUGGGCUCAAGGAGGUAGAAGUGAUCCUUUCUCAGAUGUUAUUUUCCUUAACUACAUUCAGCACCAUCUGAUGGAGCUCACUGAUCACACCACCACGCUUCCCAUCGUGGGGAGAUAGUGUGUUACAGACACUUGAACACGGAGAGCUGCUGCUGGAAGCCAAGAAAGCAGCUGGGAAAACACCACAGCCAAGGCAGCUCUGCACAGGCACCACCAGACGGGGUCUGGACACAGAGACCCAGCCUCCAAUGACCCUGCACCCCACUCCAGGGACAGCACAGCAUCACUUCAUGGCAGGAAAGCUGAUUUUGGGGAAAUGGAAAUAACACCAGCACAAAUCACUCCCAACUGAAUUGUUCAUGGACCUUCAGACACCAUCAAAGUCAGGAGCACAGCAGGUUCGUGGCCAAAUUCACUCACUCCAAUCUCACACUGGGAGGGGGGAGGGUCAGCAGUAAAGAGACAUUAUUCUGUGUUUGAAGGAAACACUCAACCAGAGACCUAUUUUUCUUUCUAUAAGAGAGUAAAUUGGCCAUAGCUGCAAAUGAACUGCAGGGAUCUACUACAAACCAGGAUAAAAAAAAAAUUUUAUUUCAUUGCAAUCAGAAAUUUCAGAAUUUAAGGAGUAGAAAGUAUUGAUUUAAAUAAUGAUACCAUUUUAUAAUCUUAUACUUAAAAGUGUCUGCCUGUAAAUAUGGAAACAAAGGACAUUAUAAGCUUUUGAGGAGAACAUAAGUCUAAGGCUCAGGGAGAUUUCUGGUUCUCUGAAACUCCUAAGUGGUCAUCUAAACAUCUUUUAAACUCUGGCCUGCCUGCAUUUUUGCAGGUGGCAGAGAUGUUCUACUUGUUUUUCAUGCCCAGACUUCAACCUUCAGUGCUCGACUUGUUCCCUGCACACCUUGAGUCCUGGCUGUCACUCUUUGCCUCUGUGUCCUGAGCCCCUCUGAGCAGUUUUCGUGUCUCUGGGCUACAGUGUCUCUCUCUGUUUCAUAUCUGAACCUAUCCCUUCCCUUCCAUAUCUGCACUUAUAAAGUAUCUCUUCUUUUCUGGUAUUACUUACUCCUAAUCACUCUAUAAUUACAUUGUGGAGCCCUGUCAAACUCCCAGGAACAAAGCUCAUAUGAAGGAUGCAAAAAUGGACCUCUGUCUCAGGAGAAAUUGUGCUGUGGCAGAGAUGAGGAAGUUGUUUGAUCAUUAGCCUUAUCUAGAACAAAUUGCACAUAAUAACUUUUAAUAUUUUAUAUCAGAUUUGGUUCCUCAGACAGACACAAUUUUUUAAAUUACGCUGUAUUUAACUGAAUCAUUUAAGUAUAUCUGAGUCUCCAAAUAAGAUACUUAAAUGUGCAUUAAGAAAUAAACAAAUCACUAGUUCACUGAAUGUGGCCCUUGUUUCACUGCCCUUGACAUAGGCUUUAGAACUCAAAACUUUUGUAUUGACUUAAGAUAAACGCUGCAAGACCAUAAGCAAUACAUUGUUCUUGUGGUACCCAAUAAUCUAGUCCUUUUAUUUAAAUAUGAUAUAAGUAAUCCCAGAGCCAAUGAAAGCAUGGAAUGACUAGGUGCUACGUUCCACAAAUACUGUCUUGCAUAGAAGAGUUUAACUCCUUAUCUGAAAAACAGUUGGCUGUGACCGUAUUAACAAUUAUAUUAUCAGUUUUCCUUGGCAACAUUUAUGUGUCAAAAUGUAUCAUGGGUUUCACAGCUUAGUUCCAGAAAUAGGCUGUGGUCCGGGUGACAUCAUACCUUCCUCCAUAAAACUUUUUUUUUUUUUUCAUCCUUCCAUAAACACUUGCUCUCCCAGCCCUACGCUGGACCCACUCAGGCCAUUAAGGCAUAACGAGCUCUUCCCAGCUCUCAGCAUCCCAGCCUGGCAGGAGGGUUGAAAAGUUUACCAAAACAGCGCGAUUUGUGCCGGAGAGCCAGAGCCUUUGCGGCUCUGCCGUGGCAGGGCAGGAGAAGCGCAGAGGCCGCGUUAAAACCGUGAGCACUGAGCACUGAGGAGGCACCAGGGGCCGUGGGUGUCUGAACGGGGCUGUCGGUUCAUCCUCUGUGUGAUGUCAAAGGAUAACAAUGUGUCAGGACUGGGAGGCGCAAUCCCUCCCUCCAUCCGCGCCCGUGAUGCGCGCGAUCGAUGCGCCAGCUGUACAGAGAAGGGAGAGAUGGUGAAAAGCCAGGAGCAGGCAGAGCUGAAACCCCCCUCUCCUCCUCUCCAAAGCCUAGCUGGGGUUUUUAGAUACUAAGGAACUGGAUUCUUACAAAGGAAGCCUUACAAAGUGGCAUUGUGAAACUGCAUUGCAAAAUUCAAUUAAGUGAAGUUUCAAACAGCUACGCAACGAUGUUGUGUUGGAGUCUGGGUGCCAUUUGGGUGAUU